rnacentral:lncRNA from 1 species
GAGAGCAGGAGUCUGCGAUCUCCAGUUUGCUGAGCCCUCUCUCUCAGUGUAACACACCUGGGCUGACCACAGCAGCUUCUCUGCUGCCAAAUUCCCAAAAGUGGACGAAGCUCACUCCCCACAAAGUUUCUAACACUCCCCACUUUGGGCCAGACACUGUCUUCCAUAUCACCACCACCCCCACCUGGGUUGUCUUUAAGAGGCUGUGGCCUUCCCAGGGACGCAACUCAAUGGGCAUGUAUUGAAUGGGUCUGACCCUGGUCCGGGCCAGAAGGAAGUGAGAGGCAAGGCGCAGCUGCGAAGGCCAAGCCCAUGCUCCCGCCACGCAGUGGACUCCGUGGGUAUUCUACAACAGAUAACUGCCAUGUGUCAGGCUGGUCAACAUUACCUCAUUUGACAUGCCCCAAGAUCUUCACCAGCUAGGAUGACAAACGGGGAAAUCAAGGCUCAGGGUCAGCUCAACCUGGUACCAGUGGGACCUUCAAAGUCCAGCCCUUGGCAAACCUCAGCGGCCCCCGACUCCUACUC